rnacentral:rRNA from 1 species
AUUGAACGCUGGCGGCAGGCCUAACACAUGCAAGUCGAGCGAGCGGCGGACGGGUGAGUAAUGUAUGGGGAUCUGCCCGAUGGAGGGGGAUAACUACUGGAAACGGUGGCUAAUACCGCAUACUAUCGGAUGAACCCAGAUGGGAUUAGCUAGUAGGUGGGGUAAAGGCUCACCUAGGCGACGAUCCCUAGCUGGUCUGAGAGGAUGACCAGCCCAACUGGAACUGAGACACGGCCCAGAUUCCUACGGAAGGCAGCAGUGGGGAAUAUUGCACAAUGGGCGCAAGCCUGAUACACCCAUGCCGCGUGUUUGAAGAAGGCCUUAGGGUUGUAAAGUACUUUCAGCGGGGAGGCGUUACCCGCAGAAGAAGCACCGGCUAACUCCGUGCCAGCAGCCGCGGUAAUAC